rnacentral:rRNA from 1 species
AUUGAACGCUGGCGGCAGGCCUAACACAUGCAAGUCGAGCGGGGUUUUCGGACCUAGCGGCGGACGGGUGAGUAAUGCGUAGGAAGCUGCCCGAUAGAGGGGGAUACCAGUUGGAAACGACUGUUAAUACCGCAUAAUGUCUACGGACCAAAGUGCGGGACCUUCGGGCCACAUGCUAUCGGAUGCGCCUACGUGGGAUUAGCUAGUUGGUGAGGUAAUGGCUCACCAGGGCGACGAUCUCUAGCUGGUUUGAGAGGAUGAUCAGCCACACUGGAACUGAGACACGGUCCAGACUCCUACGGGAGGCAGCAGUGGGGAAUAUUGGACAAUGGGCGCAAGCCUGAUCCAGCCAUGCCGCGUGUGUGAAGAAGGCCUUCGGGUUGUAAAGCACUUUCAGCGAGGAGGAAGGGUGGUGUGUUAAUAGCACAUCAUUUUGACGUUACUCGCAGAAGAAGCACCGGCUAACUCUGUGCCAGCAGCCGCAGUAAUAC